GACAGUUUGGCCGAGUGGUCCAAGGCGCUGGCUUAAGGCGUCAGUCCGCUAGGGCGUGGGUUCGAAUCUCACAGCUGUCA
rnacentral:tRNA from 1 species